UCACUUACCAAUCAUUAUAUAUAUAUUAUUACUUCACAUGGCAGUUUGAUCAAGCCUGUAUCUUAGUUCUCCUUAACAGGACUCUCUAGAAAGUCUCCAUAAAACAAUUGAGUAGAUUUGCUGUAAAAAUUGGGAGCUAAUAGCUUUCCUGGGACUUGAACAUUGCUUUAAAAUAGCUCUAAUUUUUAAAUAUAAUCUAAACAUUGAAAUAAUCUAAUCUAUAUGGUUGUGUAUAUCAGGGAGGAUUACA
rnacentral:lncRNA from 1 species